GGGAUAACUCCGGGAAACCGGGGCUAAUACCGGAUAACAUUUUGAACCGCAUGGUUCGAAAUUGAAAGGCGGCUUCGGCUGUCACUUAUGGAUGGACCCGCGUCGCAUUAGCUAGUUGGUGAGGUAACGGCUCACCAAGGCAACGAUGCGUAGCCGACCUGAGAGGGUGAUCGGCCACACUGGGACUGAGACACGGCCCAGACUCCUACGGGAGGCAGCAGUAGGGAAUCUUCCGCAAUGGACGAAAGUCUGACGGAGCAACGCCGCGUGAGUGAUGAAGGCUUUCGGGUCGUAAAACUCUGUUGUUAGGGAAGAACAAGUGCUAGUUGAAUAAGCUGGCACCUUGACGGUACCUAACCAGAAAGCCACGGCUAACUACGUGCCAGCAGCCGCGGUAAUACGUAGGUGGCAAGCGUUAUCCGGAAUUAUUGGGCGUAAAGCGCGCGCAGGUGGUUUCUUAAGUCUGAUGUGAAAGCCCACGGCUCAACCGUGGAGGGUCA
rnacentral:rRNA from 1 species